AUGGAAUCCAAGCAUCCAAUUUGCCUGACGCUGGGCAGAAUCUCCAUGGCAAGAUGCUUACGAAGACACCUAGAUCUUUUACUUCUGAAGGAAUCAGCACGGGCUUUGAAGUUAGGACAGAAUACCUCUCUCUUGUGACAGCUCGCAUGCUUCAGCAUUACUGAACAGACUCUUAUCAGGAGGCCUUGGAGAACAGGUUUCAGGUGCUCAACUAAUCUGUCAACAUGAACGGAUCCAUGCCACUAAUUCCCUAGGAACCUCUAUGAAAACGAACAUAUGUUCGCCUAUGGUGUAGAGGAACACAUGUUCGCCUAUGGUGUAGAGGAACAUACUGAGCCUCAAACCUUUUGAUACAUUAUUAUGCUGAUUGAGUUAUUCAGCAUCUAUUGCAAGCUUCAAAGCACUUUACAGGAUCACAGAUUAUAACCAUUUAAGGUUCAUGUCACUUCCCCCUCACUGGAAUGCAGCCUCCAUGGGGUAGAACAUUGCAGCUAUUAUAACCAUAGCAGUCAUACUACAAAGUAGCUGAAGGAGAGAAACUGUAGAUGAAUUAGUAUCCAGUUAAAGCAAUGGGAAUUUAGGCAGAAAGAAAUCACUCAGUUAUGGAAAUUUGGCUGAACACUAGUGCUAGCUACCUAUCAUUGUGAAACCUCAAAUGGUCAGGACUUCUGCAUUAUGGCUUAACAAAGCAGCAAUAUCUCCAACAGCCCAGUGCAGCCUCCCACACCAAGUUGGGGCUUGGGUACAGUAUUGACACUCUAGAAAGAGCACCCUCUACUGAGCAACAGACUACAGGACUCCCUUCGUCUUGACCACUCAAGUGUCUGGGAGCUGAUUACAAUGGGAAUUUGAAAAAUCACAAACUGUAUUCUUCUCUGGUGGUCACUUCCUGAACAGCUGGGCUUAAGACAUUACAGCAAAACACUAAUGCAAAUGUACUGGUAGAUAUUAAAAUUUUAUUAAAGGUAAUGUUAAAAAAAUUAUAUAAUACAUAGGUUGGAAAAAGAGUGUCUGUACAUCUGGGUAUAGUGUUUAGAUUAUCCACAAAUAUAAAGUUAGUUUUUAAAAGUCAUAUGAUACAUAAUCAGCAAUAACCCAAAUUUAGGUGAAUAGAUUUAAUAAUACAGUUUAGAUAUUA
rnacentral:lncRNA from 1 species